CUUCCGUAGGUGAACCUGCGGAGGGAUCAUUACAGAGUUGCAAAACUCCCUA
rnacentral:rRNA from 1 species